GGAAAUUAACUUCGGUUAAUUUUAGUGGCGGACGGGUGAGUAACACGUGAGAAUUCGCCUUUAGGAGGGGGAUAACGGAUGGAAACAUUCGCUAAAACCCCAUAUGCCCCUGGGUGAAACAGAGGAGAUAAGUAAUACUGACUCUUACCUCUGCCUGAAGAGAAGCUCGCGGCUGAUUAGCUAGUUGGUAGGGUAAAGGCCUACCAAGGCGACGAUCAGUAGCUGGUCUGAGAGGACGAUCAGCCACACUGGAACUGAGACACGGUCCAGACUCCUACGGGAGGCAGCAGUGAGGAAUUUUCUGCAAUGGGCGAAAGCCUGACAGAGCAAUACCGCGUGAGGGAUGAAGACUUACUGAGUUGUAAACCUCGGUACCUUAAGGAAGAAGAUCUGACGGUACUUAAGGUGGAAAGCAUCGGCUAACUCCGUGCCAGCAGCCGCGGUAAGACGGGGGAUGCAAGUGUUAUCCGGAUUUACUGGGCGCAAAGCGUCUGCAGGUGGUUUUCUAAGUCUACUGUUAAAUCUUGAGGCUCAACCUCAAAUCUGCAGUAGAAACUAGAAGACUUGAGUAUAGUAGGGGUAGAGGGAAUUUCCAGUGGAGCGGUGAAAUGCGUAGAUAUUGGAAAGAACACCGAUGGCGAAGGCACUCUACUGGGCUAUUACUGACACUCAGAGACGAAAGCUAGGGGAGCAAAUGGGAUUAGAUACCCCAGUAGUCCUAGCCGUAAACGAUGGAUACUCGAUGUUGGACGUAUCAACCCGUUCAGUAUCUUAGCUAACGCGUUAAGUAUCCCGCCUGGGGAGUACGCUCGCAAGAGUGAAACUCAAA
rnacentral:rRNA from 1 species